GACGAACGCUGGCGGCGUGCUUAACACAUGCAAGUCGAACGGAAAGGCCCUGCUUGCAGGGUACUCGAGUGGCGAACGGGGGAGUAACACGUGGGUGAUCUGCCCUGCACUUCGGGAUAAGCCUGGGAAACUGGGUCUAAUACCGGAUAGGAGCCAUCCUUAGUGUGAUGGUUGGAAAGUUUUUUCGGUGUAGGAUGAGCUCGCGGCCUAUCAGCUUGUUUGUGGGGUAAUGGCCUACCAAGGCGGCGGCGGGUAGCCGGCCUGAGAGGGUGGACGGCCACAUUGGGGCUGAGAUACGGCCCAGACUCCUACGGGAGGCAGCAGUGGGGAAUAUUGCACAAUGGGCGCAAGCCUGAUGCAGCGACGCCGCGUGGGGGAUGACGGCCUUCGGGUUGUAAACUCCUUUCGCUAGGGACGAAGCUGUUUGUGACGGUACCUAGAUAAGAAGCACCGGCUAACUACGUG
rnacentral:rRNA from 1 species